rnacentral:lncRNA from 1 species
AAAGGCGGGGCCCGGGAGCUCCGAGGAGCAGCAGCUUAUGAAAUUGAGACGGGGUAUGAUUCAGUUAAUUAGGGCGCUCCACUUUGUUUUCCUUCGCCCCCGCUCAGCUACGAUCAGCACCUGAUUGUUCCCGCGCCUGAUCGAGUCCGGUAAUCGCCUUUUUUCGCUUGAAGUCUUUAUCAUUUCCAGCUUUUUUGUUUUUCGGUGAUUAGUGUUCUCCCCGUUGUUUGAAAUCAUUUUUUCUUUGUUUUAAAAUAAGUUAAACUUAGCGCCGGUAUCGGACUUUUUCAUCAUUCCGCAUUGACUUUUUUCCGGAUUUUUUCCCAUUUUUCCUUUCCCGCCUAUGAAUAGUUUAAACCUGUGAAAAAUACCGAGCGACGCGAUUCCGAGUUCGAUAUUGUCGAUCGCCUUUCCUUUUUCUUCGUCUCGAAGUUCAAACGUUUUCAAGAUCGGUGCGUGCUAAAAUCUGUUCUGCAGCUUCUUUUGAAAUUGUGUUGGUUCCAGUGUAUCCUCCAAUUUUUCAAGUUUAAUUUUCUCCUUGAUUGGUGUAUACUUCAACUUCGUCGAAUUUUGAUAUCUUCUUUCCCUCAGUCGAUUUUAGCGUACAUGACGUCAAAACUGGUGUGUAUGUUAAUCUUUCGCCGUUUCGUGUUAUAUUGAUUUGACUUUGACUCUCUUGAAUGUUUCCUUUUUCCCGGUGUUUCUUUUGUGAUUAUGAUUAAUUUUUUCGAAUUAUAAUCGUCGAAAAACCUCGCGUUUGUGCCUACUCUACAUUCCGCCAGCGAUGAAUCAAGUUAUGAGUUACAACAGUUACAACCCAAUCAUCAACCCGAUGAGUAAUACGUACAGUCCACCUGUCACCCCUACCCGCCCUUGUGACCUCUCGUACUUCCCAACUGGACCCAGAUCUGAUUACGGCAUAUCCUUCGACGGUCAGGCGCAAUACGGCGAAGCUCUGUCAAAGUGGGCGCCAGACCCGAUGAGCCCGAACGAGAAACGACUCAAGAACUACCCGACCCCGGUGACGUCAGAGGACAAGCCGAUGUGCGGGUCCCUGUACGGGAGCCCUCGCCCGUCUUCGGGGAGGCCAAGUUCGGCGGACCCUCCAGCUCCGAGAUGGACGAAUCCGAGGGCUACGACGAGGCCAAGUUCACCGACUCCACCAAUAGCAACCUCGAGUUCGCCGACUCCCCCGAGUUCGACAGGAGUCGCCCCGACGAGACCUACGACGAGAAGUACGCCGUCAGGAUCAACAACAACAACAAUCUCGAGUACGACAAGCGGGCCUUUCAAUCCGACAGGUGAGUGUCCUCGAUACUUUCAAAAGCACAUCUGAGCACACCCCAUCCAUCCACUUCCACAUAGUUCUUUUUGGCAUAAAUGCGCCCUUUGGAGAUGUUGCAUGUGUGAGGAAUUUGCUAUUUGACAAUUGAUUCUUAUGUAAAAGUUCGCGAGAAACACGAUGGUGCCACUGGUUUUCUCUGAAAUCAACUCCCAAGCUCAAAAAAGCUCUCAAGUUGAGGCCAAAAUGGAGGGGAUAUCCCACGCUAUCCUGAGAGUCCACGUCUACAUCAAGACAAACUCUCCACGCAAAGAUAGGGAGCAAAUACAUUGACAGGGUUGCCGUGUUUUCAGUUUUAGAGUCCCCAA